rnacentral:misc_RNA from 1 species
GUGAAUCAUCAAAUUUUUGAACGCAAAUUGCACUCUCUUCGGAGAGUAUGCCUGUUUGAGGGUCAGUAUUAAUAAAAAUCGGUGUGUUGCUUCUUUGUGACGCUCCGGAGUUUGGGUCAUCUUAUUUCCUUUUGGUUUUUAGGGGCUUUAAAUUUACUUUUUUUUCGCAUUUUUGGUUGAAAUAAAUUCUUUUUUUUAUUCGUCUGUCUUAAUUCUCAAAAUUCUUUUGGAUGCGACCAUAUCGU